GUGGGGAAUAUUGGACAAUGGGCGAAAGCCUGAUCCAGCCAUGCCGCGUGUGUGAAGAAGGUCUUCGGAUUGUAAAGCACUUUAAGUUGGGAGGAAGGGCAGUAAGUUAAUACCUUGCUGUUUUGACGUUACCGACAGAAUAAGCACCGGCUAACUUCGUGCCAGCAGCCGCGGUAAUACGAAGGGUGCAAGCGUUAAUCGGAAUUACUGGGCGUAAAGCGCGCGUAAGUGGUUUUGUAAGUUGGAGGUGAAAUCCCCGGGCUCAACCUGGGAACUGCCUCCAAAAAUGCAUGACUAGAGUACGGUAGAGGGUAGUGGAAUUUCCUGUGUAGCGGUGAAAUGCGUAGAUAUAGGAAGGAACACCAGUGGCGAAGGCGACUACCUGGACUGAUACUGACACUGAGGUGCGAAAGCGUGGGGAGCAAACAGGAUUAGAAACCCUGGUAGUCC
rnacentral:rRNA from 1 species